UAGGGAUGGAGGAGUGACCAGGCAGGUACUACAGUAGGGAUGGAGGAGUGACCAGGCAGGUACUAGAGAUGGAGGAGUGACCAGGCAGGUACUAGGGAUGGAGGAGUAACCAGGGAGGUACUACAGUAGGGAUGGAGGAGUGACCAGGGAGGUACUAGGGAUGGAGGAGUGACCAGGGAGGUACCACAGUAGGGAUGGAGGAGUGACCAGGGAGGUACUACAGUAGGGAUGGAGGAGUGACCAUGGAGGUACCACAGUAGGGAUGGAGGAGUGACCAGACAGGUACUAGAGAUGGAGGAGUGACCAGGCAGGUCUGGGCAGAGGAGAUAUAGUCGUUGUUUGUCUGCGUCUGUCAGUUAUUGGUAUGUGUAUGUUGGAAUUUGGUUUGAAAGAAGAAAAAAAAAGAGAAAAAAAAAAUGUUAUUUUGUGUGCUGCAAUAAAUGAUGAAUAAAAUAAAUGCUUAUGUGUCGAUAGGUAUAGUACUGUACGUCAUUAUUCAGUUCAAGCACACAAAGUCUGGGAUUCAAUCAAAGGUGUGUUGUCGACAAACUCACCUGUCAGUUCAGUAGUCAAACCCACCUGUUAGUUCAGUAGUCAAACCCACCUGUCAGUUCAGUAGUCAAACCCACCUCAGUCAGUUCAGUAGACAAACCCACCUGUCAGUUCAGUAGUCAAACCCACCUGUUAGUUCAGUAGACAAACCCACCUGUCAGUUCAGUAGUCAAACCCACCUCAGUCAGUUCAGUAGUCAAACCAACCUGUCAGUUCAGUAGUCAAACCCACCUCAGUCAGUUCAG
ensembl:lncRNA